UGGCCUCCUCAGUCACCCAGGGGUGCUAGCCAGCUGCCCCUUCCGCUAGCAGGCCUGUGAGGGGUGAUCUAUAGGCAUGGGGGCUGGUGCUAAGAGUUACAUAUCUAUUACUCCUUCUCCUGCUCUCUACCAUUUGCACAGUAUGGCCAUUACUGGUAGCCACAGAUUCAGCCAAGGCUAUUGUGUGUCUGUGGAAAGAAAGCUGGACCAAAAUAGCUGCUGCUAUGUCCUCCACCUGCACCUGUCCAUGUGAGCCAUGCGGUGUGCCAUAACAGAGUCUGGAACUCCAGGCUCAGGCUUGGGCCUCUCUACUAGGAGGUGGUCCAGAUGUACCAGACCCACCAUCCUGCUGCAGGCCCAGCUGGUCUAGCAGGAGAGGACACAGAGGUUUUGUCUCUAGACGGCCCCUAGGCCUGCCUCUGUAUUUCUCACCUGCAGGUGCUUGAGCUUGCCUUUCUAGGCAGAUGGAGUUGUGCACCAAACUGUGGCUGGACAGUUCCUACCUUUCUGUGUGCCCCAAGCCUUCCCUGCCUCUGGUGGGUCAGUUAGCCUCUCACCCCUUGUGCCUGCACAGAGGGUCUUGAUCCCAGGCUAGCAAGCAAGUUCUCAGGCCUCUAAACUAGGGCACUAGGGCAGGUUCCGUGCCAGAGUCAGGGGCUACACAAGGGGCCUGGUGCCAGUGCGGUGGGCGAGUUAUGAGACCUGAGCUGCAGACUGGAAUGGGACCCCAUCCCACCUGUCAAACAGAUGGGGCUGUGCUGUGUCAUUCUGUCAUUGUAAUAUAAAUACAGAUUUUUAUACC
rnacentral:lncRNA from 1 species